AAUGACUGGUUUCACGUGUCCAUCCAUGUCUGAAUCAGCUGUUACUGUCCUUGUUGCAGUUUCUGUCCAUGGUGGUCUGAUAUCUCAAAGCUGAUCAAGUUCCUGGUGGGUCUCCUGUCUCAAGCAGUAGAGUGGGAGGAGCAGUCAGGAGAGAAGACACUGAAGCUGGUAUCAUCAGUGUGUACUUACAGAACCUUCCCUUUCUGUGACGGGGAUGAUGAGGAUGAGUGGUUUCAAUGUGAUCUCCUGCUGGAUCUGUACUCACAUGUGGAGGACUAUGAGACUAAAACAGGCAGGAGUGUCCUUCCAUCAUUGAGACCACUUUAUCAGUCAGCUCCUGCAGUCUGGUCCAUAGACCUCUCAGAGAGAAAGGCCUCCCUCCUCCUAGAAGUGCUGAAACUCCAACCAGAGAAGAAACCAGUACAGCUGAAAGGCUGGUCAGAUGAAGAGAGUGAAGUGAGGAGUUUCCUUCAGUGUCUGCCUUACAUCUCACAGCUGAGGUGAGUUGGAUCAGUACAGCUCAGGUGAGUUGGAUCAGUACAGCUCAGGUGAGUUGGAUCAGUACAGCUCAGGUGAGUUGGAUCAGUACAGCUCAGGUGAGUUGGAUCAGUACAGCUCAGGUGAGUUGGAUCAGUACAGCUCAGGUGAGUUGGAUCAGUACAGCUCAGGUGAGUUGGAUCAGUACAGCUCAGGGAUUGUUGUCUGUCCCUGUAUUUCACUUUUAAAAAGGAAGUUUGUUCGUAACAACCGAAUAUGCUAAACAUACACAUACUGUUUUGGAAAGAUACAAUCUUACUUUGUGGUGAUGAUUAUAAGGAACAGUUGAAGUGGAUGAUGAGUUUAGAAAGAUACAGUCUUACUUUGUGGUGAUGAUUAUAAGGAACAGUUGAAGUGGAUGAUGAGUUUAGAAAGAUAGUCAUGUUAUUUGACCUGCUAUAAUGUGACCAUCUGAAAUGCAGAUUAUAUCUCACAUAUUCAUCUAUUUGUUGUUAAACUGUUCAUGCAGUUUUACUCCACCACAGUAUCAGAGAAGAUCCCCUGAAGAGUGGAGAAAGAGAGAGAAGACAUUCCUACUGAAUCUGUGUCUUCAAGCAGCCCUCCAUGAGAGAGAAACCAUACAAACAACUGUAGGGAAAGUGUUGUCACUGUCUGAAGUUUAUCAGGGUCGGAAAUGGGAUCUCCUGCUGGAUCUGUACUCUCACGUGAAGGACUAUGAGACUAAAACAGGCAGGAGUGUCCUUCCAGCAUUACAGCCAGUUUACCAGUCAGCUCCUGCAGUCUGGUCCAUAGACCUCUCAGAGAGAAAGGCUUCCCUCCUCCUUGAAGUGCUGAAACUCCAACCAGAGAAGAAAUCAGUAGAGCUGUGGGACUGGUCAGAUGAAGAGAGUGAAGUGAGGAGUUUCCUUCAGUGUCUGCCCUACAUCUCACAGCUGAGUUUUACUCCACCACAGUAUCAGAGAAGAUCCCCUGAAGAGUGGAGAAAGAGAGAGAAGACAUUCCUACUGAAUCUGUGUCUUCAAGCAGCCCUCCAUGAGAGAGAAACCAUACAAACAACUGUAGGGAAAGUGUUGUCACUGUCUGAAGUUUAUCACAAUCAGAAAUGGGAGCUCCUGCUGGAUCUGUAUUCUCAUGUGAAGGACUAUGAGACUCAAACAGGCAGGAGUGUCCUUCCAGCAUUACAGCCAGUUUACCAGUCAGCUCCUGCAGUCUGGUCCAUAGACCUCAGAAAGAGAAUGGUCUCCCUCCUCCUAGAAGUGCUGAAACUCCAACCAGAGAAGAAACCAGUACAGCUGAAAGGCUGGUCAGAUGAAGAGAGUGAAGUGAGGAGUUUCCUUCAGUGUCUGCCCUACAUCUCACAGCUGAGUUUCUGUCCAUGGUGGUCUGAUCCCUCAAAGCUGAUCAAGUUCCUGGUGGGUCUCCUGUCUCAAGCAGCAGAGUGGGAGGAGCAGUCAGGAGAGAAGACACUGAAGCUGGUGUCAUCAGUGUGUACUUACAGAACCUUCCCUUUCUGUGACGAGGUUUAUUUUGAUGAGUCGUUUCAAUGGGAUCUCCUGCUGGAUCUGUAUUCACAUGUGAAGGACUAUGAGACUCAAACAGGCAGGAGUGUCCUUCCAGCAUUACAGCCAGUUUACCAGCCAGCUCCUGCAGUCUGGUUCAUAGAUCUCUCAGAGAGAAAGGUCUCCCUCCUCCUAGAAGUGCUGAAACUCCAACCAGAGAAGAAAUCAGUAGAGCUGAAAGGCUGGUCAGAUGAAGAGAGUGAAGUGAGGAGUUUCCUUCAGUGUCUGCCCUACAUCUCACAGCUGAGUUUCUGUCCAUGGUGGUCUGAUAUCUCAAAGCUGAUCAAGUUCCUGGUGGGUCUCCUGUCUCAAGCAGCAGAGUGGGAGGAGCAGUCAGGAGAGAAGACACUGAAGCUGGUGUCAUCAGUGUGUAUUUACAGAACCUUCCCUUUCUGUGACGGGGAUGAUUUUGAUGAGUCGUUUCAAUGUGAUUUCCUGCUGGAUCUGUAUUCACAUGUGAAGGACUAUGAGACUCAAACAGGCAGGAGUGUCCUUCCAACAUUACAGACAGUUUACCAGUCAGCUCCUGCAGUCUGGUCCAUAGACCUCUCAGAGAGAAAGGCCUCCCUCCUCCUAGAAGUGCUGAAACUCCAACCAGAGAAGAAACCAGUAGAGCUGAAAGGCUGGUCAGAUGAAGAGAGUGAAGUGAGGAGUUUCCUUCAGUGUCUGCCCUACAUCUCACAGCUGAGGUGAGUCUGAACAUAAUGUAUGUGGUUAGUGAUUAUGUGAUGCUAAUAGUGAUGUGUCUUUAUGAAAUCUUGUAACAUGAAACCUCAAUGUUUACUCAGAAUACCUGAUCUAUAAAACUUGUAUUACUUUAUGUCAUGGCAUAUUAUGUAACUUUCUCUGUAACAUCACAUGGUAUUACUUUUCCAUGCGACAGUUCAAUAUUCAUGUAUUCUAACUGUCGUUUGAUUUCAUGUGUCCCUCAUGUUCUGCUGUUUCAGCUGUGAUUCUGACAGGUUCUUCCAGCGUGUGUGUGAAUCCAUCCCUGUGAGGUCCAGAGAGGAUGCCCAGCAGUUGGCCUCUCUCCUCCAGGCCUUGGGCUCCACCCUGUCACUGGGAGGACAGUUACCCAGGAAAACCUGCAGGUCUGUGGUGAGAGUGCUUGGCCUCUGUGCCUCCAGAGUGGACCUCACUCUCACCCCCAGCAAGAUCUCUCUGAAAGGAGCCUCACUUCUCUUCACACAUGUAUCACAGCUACACAAGCUCAG
rnacentral:lncRNA from 1 species